UACGAAGGGGGCUAGCGUUGCUCGGAAUGACUGGGCGUAAAGGGCGCGUAGGCGGCUCAUACAGUCAGGCGUGAAAUUCCUGGGCUCAACCUGGGGACUGCGCUUGAGACGUGUGGGCUUGAGUGGGGAAGAGGGUCGUGGAAUUCCCGGUGUAGCGGUGAAAUGCGCAGAUAUCGGGAAGAACACCCGUGGCGAAGGCGGCUCUCUGGGACGGUACUGACGCUGAGACGCGAAAGCGUGGGGAGCGAACAGG
rnacentral:rRNA from 1 species